rnacentral:tRNA from 1 species
AGGAAUUUAGGAUAACAUCAGUCCAAAAGCCUUCAAAGCUUUAAGCAGAGGUGAAAAUCCUCUAACUCCU